AAUAAAUAUAAUCGAGGUGUGAAUAAUUCAUAGAAAUAAACAAGGGAAAUACCUUGUUAAAACCCGAAAUAGGAUAGAAAGUCAGGCUAGGCCCCUUUGGAUCACAAGUUUUGUUUCAUGCUUCUGACAACCGACGUUCAUUAACAUAAAACUAUAAAUUUUAAAUUGAAGCUCAAAUGAAGUCAUCUUAAGUUGAGAAAACAAAAGAUGUAUAAGAGUAAUUGCUACAGCGGAAGUCUAACAUAGGAAUUUAUCUCUAGCCUCAGCUCCGUCCCGUCAGCACCGGCCAGCCAACCUGAAAACAUUUGAAAGUAUUUUUGGGCUAAGUACUAAUGUACUUAGUGGGCAUGCAUUUUCAUAAACAUUUCAUAUUUUCUUAAAGGCAGUUUAUCCAAUCAUAAUUUACAUAACUUAGAAGGUUUUAAAAUGAAAUAACUUCUAAGCAUGUUAAAAUAUUUUCUUUCAUUUGUGCGCACAUGUCACACUCCCUUUCCGUUACUCGCUGUGAUCCCGGACCUUUUAGCCACCGACGGAUCCAUUACUCCUGCUUUACUUGGACUGAGGGCGUAACCCAGCCAAGUUCCCAUUUGGGACCCAAUGCUCCGGAACACAUCCCGUCGAGCACCCUUAUAACGCCUCAUACAUGAUUAGUGCCCGAAUGGAGAUCAACCCACCGAGUCAGCUAAUAGGUGUACACAAUUCUCAAACAACGUGUUAGGUCAUAAGAGAACCUCGAUCGAUUAACUUAUGCGAGCCUUAAACAGAGCAGAGUGCACAAAAUAUUUUAUUGGAUAAACAGUUUUCAUUACAUUAAAUAAACAAUUUGCAUUUCAUUGAAAACAUUUAGAGCUUAAUAACUCAAUCAUACUUUGUACAUUUGGAAAGUAAGCCCACCUGGUUAGGCAAAGCCUGAAGAUCAUAAUCACAUAUAAACCUGUCUUGGAAAAGCAGCGCUAAUCCCCCUGGUCACAAAGCCUACAAGAAAUUCUAUUCUUAAUAGGUCUCGUGAAGCUAAUCUUAAGUCAUGGUGUAGUGCUUAAUAUUCUAUGAUUCACUUAGCCGGGUUUUUAAACUUUAAUGAAUAAAUAAUUGAA
rnacentral:lncRNA from 1 species